GCAAGUCGAACGGUAACAGGCUAAUGUGAUCCCUUCGGGGUGAACUGUGCGCUGACGAGUGGCGGACGUGUGAGUAAUACAUAGGAGUCUACCCAGUAGUGGGGGAUAACUGGGAGAAAUCCAUGCUAAUACCGCAUAUGCACUACGGGGCAAAGCAGGGGACCCUCGGGCCUUGCGCUAUUGGAUGAGCAUAUGUCGGAUUAGCUUGUUGGUGAGGUAACGGCCUACCAAGGCAACGAUCUGUAGCUGGUCUGAGAGGAUGAUC
rnacentral:rRNA from 1 species